UGGAGCGAAUACAAGCAAAUCGAGUUGGACAGAGUCCCUGUCCUACAAGGGGCUCACGGUCUUAUUCUCCAUCUUUACAGAUGAGGUAACUGAGACACAGAGAGGUUAAGUGACUUGCCCAAGGUCACACGGCAGACAAGUGGCGACAUUCUUCUAUCAUUACAAGUAGGAGCCUAACCCCAGGAGUCCUAAACUCCAGGAACACUACAAGUUCUCUCCCCGCGCCCCUCCAAAGUGACAGGGAUAACAUUUCUGCCUGGAAAACUGAUGGAAGAACCCAGCUCCUCCAGGAAGUCUUCCUUGUUAAGACCCAAGGAAGCCUCUGAUGCCCGACACUGGGACAAUGGGACUGUUCUGGAGCAGUGCCAACCACAAAUGAUGUGCCAGUCCAUCUUCCUGGCUUUGAGGGCAAAGAGGAGAGUCAUGCAUCUUGAAGAGAGGGAGAGAACACGGCCAGGAUCCAACAUGCUGGGUAUGACAAUCACUCAAUGAAUCAGUGGUAUUUAUUGAGUGCUUGCUAUGUGCAGAAGACUGUACUAAGCACUUGGGAGAGUAUAGUAUAACAGAGUUCAUUAAUUCAUUCAUUCAAUAGUAUUUACUGAGUGCUUACUAAGUGCAGAGCACUGUACUAAGCACUUGGAAUGUACAAUUCGGCAAAGAGAUACAUUCCAAAGAGACAAAGUUUGUAGCACAUUCACUGCCCACAGUGAGCUUACAGUCCAGAGGGCGAUACAGAUAUUAAUUUAGAAACAACGUGGCUUAAGAGAUAGAACACAGGCCUAGAAGUCACUAGGACCUGGGUUCUCCUCCCGCCUCUGCCUCAUGACUGUUGUGUUACCUUGGGCAAGGAACUUCACUUCUCUGUGCCUCAGUUAUCUGUAAAAUGGGGAUUAGGAGUAUGAGCCA
rnacentral:lncRNA from 1 species